UGUGUGCAAUGCAUGGUCUAUUUUCGUCCAUCUGUUUAGGGUGAUUGCGUUAAUUGUAUUUCUCAGACUAUAGUUGUUUAUGGCGCCCUAGGAAUGUUUCUUGUUUACUUAACUUGUUAUUGUUCACUUAACUUGUCAGAGUCGAUUCCAUAACAAAAACAACAUGAUAUUUACCUUAUAAAUAUUCAUCGUGAUAACAAACCAAAAUAGAUUUGUUUUGCAUUUGUUUUUAAAAUGAUUUCCUUUAAAAGUUAAGUUCUUUUCUGGAAGGGAGUCUUCGCAGUUGGUUGGGGGUAUUAACAUCUUUAUAUACUUUAGCUACUAUAGGGUAAUCUUUUUAAGUCUAUUGUCUGAAAUCUAUUUUAUGAAAAAAUGUCUGUAUCAAGUCAGGAAUAUGAUAGUUUUGGUCCAUUCGUUUGAUGUGUAUAAGUUUUCAUCAGAGUUCUGUGUUUCUGUGCUUUCCUUUUUUUUAAUAUAACUACGGAUUGAUUUCUUUAUUUGCAGUAUAAGUUACUACUGUAUAGUGCCAUUAUAUUUCGUUUUAAUUUACUUAUCUAUAAUUAUCUAAUCUGUCUUGUUACUUACAUCCUGAAAAAAUAAUGUAACAGUCAUAAGGAUAAUGUAUUAAUCAAGACACAAAAGUAA
rnacentral:lncRNA from 1 species